rnacentral:rRNA from 1 species
GAUGAACGCUGGCGGCGUGCCUAAUACAUGCAAGUCGAGCGAAGCGGGGAAGGGUGAGUACUACGAGGAUACACUCGUUUAAGACUGGGAUACCUUCGGGAAACCGGAGCUAAAUCGGAUACUUGUAGUUGGAUCCGCGCUGGAUGAGCUAGUUGGUAAGGAAACGGCGUACCAAGGCAACGAUGCAUAGCCGACCUGUGAGGGUGAUCUGCCACACUGGAACUGAGACACGGUCCAGACUCCUACGGGAGGCAGCAGUAGGGAAUCUUCCGCAAUGGGCGAAAGCCUGACGGAGCAACGCCGCGUGAGUGAUGAAGGUCUUCGGAUCGUAAAACUCUGUUAUUAGGGAAGCGGUACCUAAUCAGAAAGCCACGGCUAACUACGUGCCAGCAGCCGCGGUAAUAC